CGGAGGUUCCUGCAGUUGAUGACUCCGACAAACCAUAAUGUUAAUUGAUUUUAGUAGUUAGCGGAAGCGAAGCUAGGAGGUCUUGAACUGCACUCCACUGGCUGUACUUUGCUGCUGUGUUUGCAAAACUGGGAAGCCUACAAUUUCCCGUUGCUUCAGUGAAAGGUAAUACUAUACCUUCAAUGAUUUUGCUUCUCGCUUGAAUGCUAGUCAGGAUUGAGAGCAUGUUUGUACAUUUUCUGUUAGUGUCAUUUAAUGGAAUACCUGCAAUGAUUUAUUUGUUGGUUGAAUGCUGGUGAGGAUUGUGAAUGCUGACAUGUGUGUACGUUUUCUACUAUUGUCACUUGUUGUCAAGACUAAAUGAUGGUGCCUGUCGAUCGAGUUACCCCAUUCUUGCUGCUUCAUGUGACUGUUUUCCUAGCAUUACUAAUAGCCAAGAUCGAAAUAGCGUGUAUAUUUCUUGCCAAGAGAGCAUUUACUCGAACAUACAUGUGAUCUAACACCACAAGUUGUAACACCUAAUGUCUGGUGUGGAACAGUAAUAAACAUUUUUGGAUUACUAGUUUAGAUUUAAUAAAUUAGCUAUCGUGUAUAUGUUUGUAUCUUUUAUUUUUAAUAUAAUACUUGUAUAUGUUCGUGUCUUUUAUUUUUAUUCAUAUUUUGCAUAACAUAUAAAAGGGUUGCAGUAGGCUUAAUAAUCCUAAUUUAGUUGGCUUUUGUGGUCAUUUCAGACUUGUAAACACAAGUUAUGUGCAGUCAUCACGUAGAGGUAAAACUGUUCAGAAAUAAGUCAUCGAAAUAAUUAUUUUGAGGAUUUUUUAACUAUACAGAGUGGUACGGAAUAUCAGUUAGUAUAACACCUAGGAGCUACCCAGGUGGCACAUGGUUAGAUGGGCAUUUGAAGUAGUGUCUAGGGCUGGAUUACUACAUUGUUCUAUGGUAGUGUCAUGUAGGCAUUUGUGGGGACUUUCGACUAUAGUGAAUCACCUUAGACUAUUUCUCAUUGUAAUCGUUCAUACCUUUCAAAGUCUAUGUUUAUAAUUUGCAUUACCUAUCAAGUGUUUGCUGAAAUUGCUACUUAUGGAUUAUAAGUUGAACGCUUUUUUUAACCCGUCUUUUUUGCAUAUCACAAGAGGUUUCGGGAAGGUUGACCCUUUUGGGAUGGACACGCAAGAGUGUCACACAACAUAGGGAUAGCUGCUUAAGUCCAUGACAAAUUAUAUGAGAGUGGAAUAGGCACACUUAAAAAAUACUUGGUAUACAAAUGUGAGGGACCUAGCGAGGCAGCGUUAAGGGCAGCUAGCACGCGUAACCGUUUGUGAGAAACGGGUGUUGAGAUGUGGGGAAAGAAGUUGAUUAGAAGAGCAGGCAUCGGAAAUUGACAUUUAAAGGAAUAGCCAACCCAUUGCGCGAGAGGCACCACGAGGACAAGCGAGCUGGGAAGAACACAAUGCACAAAAGUUAGAAUGGCUGAAUUCGAGCUACGACUUGACAUGGUAACCAAACUUGAUGGUGCUUAAGGUAAGUGAGGUGUUUGGCAAAGGAUGAGAUCAUGCAAGGUGGGGUGAUUUGGUCAGCGAUCGAAAGAGUUAUGCAAAGCUCAUAGAGGUGAGGAGAAUUGCUAAUUCAAAAAAUUCGGUACUUAUGCAAGGGCUUGUAUGUACACAAUGGACUGUCUAUAGCCAUCCCAAUGCAAUUAAAACUUUGAUGCUAUGGAACAUUAAAACUUUUCCUUCAACAUGAGAAUGAUACAUCCAUAGAAAGCUGAAGUGUACAGCAAGUUCAACAUAUUACUAAGUCUUGAGGAGCAUAGUAGGGGUUGUAUUGACGAAGAGUCGCAAUCUAGUAAGUAUGUUUAUAGGGAUAGAAUAGUGCAUAGUUUGUUUAGCAAGGCUGAGUAGUUUAAGGGGAUGGUGGUCUCCAAAACUUUUGGAGGGAAGGAUGCGAAAAGUUACUCCAAUAAGAGAGAUAUCCAAGAGGGAUAAGUCUCAAUUCGUCGGAUGGAGAAUCAUAUAUAAUAAACUGUACAUGUUUAGGAAGGGUACCUCAAGAUAAUAACUCUAUAAAACUCAACGGACCGAGUGAACAACGAUGAGUCAUCACAUGAUCUCACAUAAGGUAAUGUGUUAGGGAACACAUUGCAAGAUUAAGUGGGGGAAUGACCCAAGACAACACCAAACGAAGCCACUUAGAAUCGAUAUGAAGAUCAGACUCAACGGAGUGUUGACUGGUGGAAUAGUGGGUGUGAGGGUCACACUCAACUCAAUGCAAAUCGAGUAGAGAUCAAGGGCAUGAAGUUUAUGUAACAAAGAUCAGAAUGCAAUAGGGAUUCAUUAGGAAGCGAUAUAGUGCAGUGGAUCAUGGUGGAACAAUUCAAGGCAAUGCGACACAUACGAAAAAAUUCUUGCGAGGGACUAGAUUAUAUAGAGGUAUGAUCGGGAUCUACUAAGUGCUCUACUUCAGUGAAUAAUAAGACAACAAGAAGGGCUAUUGAUUCAAGGAGUGAAUGUUAUGGUAUCAUAUAUUCGGGUCUUCCGUGCAUGUAUCGAAUUUUACAUCGAAUAAAAGCUUUGGUCAUCAGCAUAUGAGGGUUAUAUACCAUCAAGGAGAAAUUCUGAAUGUAAGUUUUAGUGAGUCUUAUGAGGGGGUCUUAAUCAUAUAGAUGUAUGAUUAAAGGGGCUACAGAGUUGGAUUGCUCAGGAACUCAUAUUCACUUAAGGGAGCAUAGUAAGCUAGAGGAUAAUACCGAGUAAAUGAACGUUGCUUCCAAGGAAACAAAGGAGAAUAGAAUCAGCAUGAGCCCUAUAAUAUGAUGGCAAAGGUCAUACAUGUAUGUUGCAAUACGUAUUUCUAUCGAGCAAGGGAAACUACUCGGAGAACACAAAGGUGUCGAAGUAAGUGAUUGAAAGAGGUAAGGAAGUGAUGAGAGGUCUAAAGGGACUUAGCUAUCUAAAACUAAGCAUAAGUUAUAAUAGAGGUAGACUCGAAAUAGUGUUGUAGUGCCAUAGAGGUAGAUUUACCGAUCACAAAGAAAUGGAUGCAGAUGCGAGGUAAUAAAUAGUGGAAUCAUAGACAUGGCAGCGCCAUGGUACUGCAAAGGUGGGAGUCACAUGGAGUCAUUGAUCCCUUGCUUUUUUGGAGAUAGAGCAUUUGGUAAGAAUAUGUAGACAAACUUCAAGUAUUGAGUCAAUGCCGAAAGGCAGAGGCUAGGGAACUUCGUAAGACUAGUGUUGAUGUACUUCUCAUCAAAAUAGUCGAAAGUAAGAGACUUUAGAUCAGUGUAGGAGUGCUCGACCAAGAAAUGAAGUAGGCAAUACAAGAUACUGUACUUUUUCUACUUAGAGUAGGCAAUAGAAAUAAUGAAGAAAACGAUAUAAUCCCAUAGGCGACUAAAACUAUUGGAGACUUGCUUCAAAUUGGAACAAAAUUUUGUUAUUUUCGGGCAAAGUUUUUUGUAUUCCAGAAAUUUGAUGGCAAUAAGAAAGUGAAUCAUAGUAGUUGACUCAGCAUAAGGAGUGCAAAUAAUUUAGGUGCUAUGGAAGUAUGAGCAAAGAGCAAAAGAAGUCAAGAAAUCUUUGCCUUCUUAACUCUUAAGAGAAUUGACAAAAUAAAGUAUCCUAUAUCUCUUAUUUAUGUAAUAGAAGAGCUAUACAUAUGUUCAAAGAACUUUCUAAGAAACCUAGUAGAAGACAACAGUUGUGAAAUCUUCAUCAAUGAUUAUUAAUGCUAUCGAGAGUAGAUUGUCUAUUUCAUUUCCAAACAUAAUUCUAAUCGAAAACGGAAGUGUUGUGAACCUACUUAGAUGUGACAACUAAAUAGAAGGAAAUCAAUGGGUAAAUUUUACAGAGGAAAUACCUUAAUAACUUUAAAGCUCGCGAGGUGAUGCUCGUUAAAACUCCAACAGACAUCCACCUAAUUCAAGUGAUAUAACACAUUUGAGAGAUUUGCGUAUAACAAAAAAAGUUUUUUCCUUCAUCUGAAAGAUUCGCAGGAACCAUUAAGGAUUAGCAUAACUCAAUUGAUCCCACACUAGAGUCAAAGUCAAUAGCGAGUUGAAGCAGCAUGACAGAUCAAAGUUUGACUACUUAACAAUAGCGAAGAGCAGUUGGGAGCUAAGAGAUUCAUUGUAAUUGGAGCAAAAGAUUGAAGAUUAAGCAAAGACGAUGAGAUCCAACAUCCAUAAAGGCUUCAACGAGGAUGUCGAAGGAAUAAAUGAUGGAGAAUAUCACAAACAAAGUUGUAAACAUGGUGUUCGAUGUAAUGCUCAUGUAUGCUCGUAUCUUUCAAUUUUGUUCAUGCUUUGCACAACAUGUAGAGGGCUUGCAGUAAGCAUGAUAGCCCCAUUUUGGUUGAUUUUUAUGAUCAUUCUAAGCUUGUAAACGUAGGUUGUAUAUAGUCAUUACGUAGAGGCAAAACUAGCUAGAAACAUAUCAUCCAGAUAGCUAUUUUGGGAGUUUUCUAGCUCUGUAAAGUGGUGUGAAGUGUCAACCAGCACAACACCCGAGAGCUAUUCGAGUGGCACAUGGUUGGAUGAGCCUUUGGGGCUGAUUCACUGGCUGUCUUAUUCUGUAGCAUAUUAUGUAGCAAUAUCGUGUGAGCACUUGUGGGAACUUUUGGUCGUAGCAAAUCAUCUUAGACCCUUUGUCAAGGACCAUUCAAAGCUUGCGAAGUCUAUAUUUAUAAUUUACUGAAAUGAUUAAUUAUGGAUGUUAAGUUAAACUAUUUCUUCAACACAUCUUUUCUUUUGCAUAAGAUGUUUCGGUGAGAUUAAUCAUUUACGAACAAACACAUAAGGAUGAGUUUUUUCUUUUGCAUAAGAUAUUUCGGUGAGAUUAAUCAUUUACGAACAAACACAUAAGGAUGACAUAUGACUUCAGCAAACCAACUAAGUCCGUCGUAUAAUACCAACUAACACAUAAUAAUGUGAAUCUUGUUAAAUUUAUUCAAACAAAUCAUGUGUUUUUAUUAUUAUUCACAACUAACCCUUUUCGAUAUGAAUUUUCUUUAAAAAAUUAUUUACUCACAGUAAAAUCACUUAAUUCUGAUAUGGGAUUAAAUCAAGGUAUUAAAAUUAAGGUCAAUCAAAGUUUUCAUCCGAAAGAAAAAGACAAAUGGCAACCAUCACAAGCACUAGCGCUAGUCCGAAAACAGUAUGAAAAAGGCACAAAUGGCAAGUAUGAAGUAAAAGUACGGCGACCAACAGAACGCCGGCAACGCCGUCAUUCCCAUUUGGUUUGAAUCGUACCCGUGUGCUUGAAGUCAACGAUCAAGGCCGAGCUUCCAUCCAUCCUACUCACCACAAACCUCUCCACCAACACGUAGCACCCAAAUCUCUUCCACGGGCCCACCCCUCCGUACUCCUCCGACCUCUCCACCUUCACAUCACCGCCGACCCACCCUCCCCUCCCCUGCUCCCACCUCAUUCUCUCCCAUACCGGGGAGCUCAGCCCCACCCUCUCUCCCUCCAAAUCAAGCGGCUUGAACCACACCACGCCGUCCUGUCCACCUGCGCCGUCUCGCGUCGCCUCCACGCCACCCAACACCGCGCCCUCCGCCCGAACAGUAGCCUUCACUUCCACGGUCCUCCGAUCGCCAUACAAGUUCUCGCACGCGAACACCUGUUCCCAGCGCUGCUCGAGGGUGAUAUCGUAGAAAGCCGAGCGCUCCAUUUGACGCCGCAGGCUAUCUCCUUCCUUCACGAACACGCAGGGGGCGUACCACCUCCCCACGACCAAACCGGCACCACCUGCGCCUGAUAUCGGCAACUCCAACGCGGGCGUGCGGGCACGAAGGGCUUUGUCGAGCCCCCAGGCGUCGGUCAAGUCGAAGUCCGUGGGCUUCGAAGCAUAAAGCCUCCAGUCCUUUCUCCUCAGGGGCCAUGGAGCGAACCCAUCCGGAGCUACGGACUGCGCGGUGAACCUGCCUCUCUUGCAGACGAUCUCCACCUGCUGGUAGAUGUCCCUGUGAUCGAACUCUCUCGGCUUGACAUCGUUGACGCACUGGCAGAAGCAGCAUGUGGUCAUGUCUUCCUCCAGGGAGCAUGUAUACGCUUUCCUGCACAUGCAAUCGAAAUCAACCCAACAUUGUUGUGAGAAAACUACGGGAGGUGGGGGAGGGAUGGAAGGAGAUCGAGAGAGGUGCGCCACCCUUUCUUUUUGCCCUUUGCGACGAUGACGUAGUAGUGAUUGGAGGAGAACGAUUUGUAGAGGACGGGGAUGAACAGGGCCGGGAACCGGUGGGUGGUAGAGCUCUGGCCAUUGUGCUCCGUGUAGGUGAUGGUGAGGAUCCUGUUCUGAGGGAAGGGGAGCUCUCGAACCCUCGUGUCUUCACAGAGCCCCCAGCAGCAUGAGGGGUUUGGUUCAGCUCCCUCGUCCUGGAGAAGCAGAUAGCCUGAGUUGGGCCCUGCCGGUGGUGGUGGUUGAAUGGCGGCAGCACCAGCAGAGUUCUUGAAGACGGAGAGCGGCCUCGUCGUGUACAUCUCCUCGGCCCUGGUUGUUCCCGGAGAUGAGGUUUGUGGAGGUGAAGAUGGCUCUGAUACUGCUAUUAGUACACCAAGAUCUCUCGCUCUUUCUCCGAUCUUUCACAGUAGACCUUUCAAAUCUUUUCUCUGUUAUGAUCCAUUGAUGACAUCUUCUAAGAAGCUAACCUUUGGUAGAUUAUGACAAUGCCGUGGAGCUGUGAAGAAUAUGUGAAUGAUCAACUCGAUCCAACAAAUCAAUGAGAGAAAGAGUCAGAGAUGCGUGGGCAUAAUAUUUAAUGCUUCUUUUUUGAAAAUAUUGACAAUCUAACCUUACAAUUUGAGUCAUCGUAGCAUAAGAUGAAGAAUGCUUCUCCUCUUCAUCUUCAUAUCAGAGAGGUUCCAUCUGCAUCUUCGUGGAGAUGGUACCCAAACAAUCAACCGUAAGACGCCUUCAAAGAAAGAAAUCGGUUCACCAAUCAUUAAAGCAACAUGGAGAGCUUCCUUACAACUGCUAAAAGAAGAAAUAGUAAAAGGUCAGCUUCUUUUGCUUGCGAGGUCAUCGUUAUACGGUCCGAGAGAGAGGGAGAGACAGAGAGAGAGAAGCCUAGACAAAACCAAAGAGAUGAUGAUAAGGUUCGAAAAGUCCGCGUACUUGAUAUGAGGUGAUGGCAGUCACUGGCAGCGCCAUGCAUUCAACAACAUACCGGAGGAUGCGCUCAUCUCUCUCCGUGUGAUCGGAGCGUUGACCAGCUUCCCUCCGAGUUGCGUCUGAGAAGCUGCGGAGAUCACAGAACCUGCACCAAACUAAUGGUAGAAGAUAAGCCACCACAUUAAAGACCUGCUUGUUUGCAGUUCCAGCAGUCUCUCAUCUUCACAUGGAGCUCAUAGUGCCGGAGUCACGAUCGACAAGUCUUAGCAUCCUAAAAUCCGAAACAUGACAGAUGAAAUAAUAUUCAACAAUGUUCAAUGUAAAGCAGUAUCGAACCUCGCUUGGAUAUACCGUAAAAUGAUGAAAUAAUAUUCAACAAUGUUCAAUGUAAAGAAUUGUUGCUGCAACGAAAAAUCCAACAACUAAUUUGUCAAAGAGGUUACCACAAGAAAGUAAAGAAAGCUCAUGAAAUUGAUGAGGCAGAUAAUAGAGAACUCUAUUUCCUCAUAUUUCUUGAGGAUGCCAGCUAUAUAUUUUGAGCAACUAAAAUCCUCAUCUAAAAGAAUUAUUUUUGAAGUAAUAAGAACUAAUUUAUUGACAUACUUUUCUAUUUUGGAAGAGAAAUACAAACCCUUCCUGCAUCAUUGGUCCAGCCACACAGGAAAAACAUCAAAAACACACAACACCUCUGCUAGCAUAACCUUACUGUAAUCUCCAAAAGAACACUCAUCCAUUUGUUAAUAAACUAAAGGAAUCCUCAUACUUUCAAUCAAAUGUCCCAAAUAACAAUGAACAAAUAAUAGAUUUCACAGAUAUAACAACAUGAAAACAAAUAAAGAGAAGUUGAAAUUGUUUGUAUGUAGGGAUUACUCUUUCUUUUUUUAUUCUUUAUUUGAUUAUAAAAUCUAAAACAAUGAUUGAUGCCUUUUUUUUUUUCUUUCCACAAGUUACUGCUCUAAAGUUCUGAAGCUAGACUUUUUUUUUUUUGUAAGAAUACAACCUUUUGAUAUUUAGAAACUUAAAGAUGCAAUAAUAAGGAAUCCUAGACACUGGAUCACCUCUCUGAAGUUGUUAAGCUAAAUCUUUUCUAUAAAAAAGCAACCUUUUGAGAUUUAACUGAAAGAUACAAUAAUGAGGAUUCCUACAAUGAAGACAUUGCAUCACCUACAAAUUAUUAUUAUUAUUAUUAUUAUUAUUAUUAUUAUUAUUAUUGUGAUAAAUUAUCAAGAUCUUUAUUGAAAAAAAAGGAGAUAAUCUUAUAAAAUUAACACUAUGACCCAUUAUAUAGAUUAAAUAAAUAAAAAAGAUUAACACAAUUGUAUGAGCAACUCAAAAUUCGACAUGAUUUACAUGUAAAAAAGUAACCUUCUAAGAAAUUGUGAUGUGGUGUACUGUACAGUCUUUACAUGUAUUAGCAGAACAAGCAUAGGAAGUCUUUAUCUUAAAAAAUAGAAAAGUAGUUAGAUAUGUUCUCUUUUGUUCCCCCGUGCGAAAACAAGUUCAGUCAUUCUCAAGAAGCCAAAAUGUUUUUUUGUCUCUCAUAGAUUAUAUUAUCCAUCACACUCUCAUUUAAAGUGGUUCAGGGACAGUAGUUCAGAAACACAUCCACAACACAACCUAUUAAUUCUCUUACUUGAGAGGUAUAUUGACUAAUCAUUUAUCUCGAAAUUGAAGAUUAUUUUGUGUGUAAAAAGUCAUUAAUUCACGAAGCAUUCAGUCGAACACUUUGAGCUCAUAUCGGGAGACAUGUACUUUCUGCUGAUCCGAAAGUCACCUGUCACAUAUUAGAACCCUACAGUUCCAGUAAUGCUACAACAUAAGUGUUGAUUUCACAUGGAUUUGAUCGCGGGAAAGAACAAGAACGCACCACCAAGAUUCAAGCCAUUCGAAAUCAAGAAAGCUAAAAAGGCAAGAACACCACACCACCACCUCUUCUCUGCGAUAUAAGAUGCACGAACACAUAAUCUUGAGAAAGGCAAGGAACAUAGGGAGGCAAAGAAAGGGACGGACCUGCCUAGUUCUUCUCGGUGAGACCGGACACGAUCCACCGCCGUCGUGUUCGCAUUGGCCCCUCCCUGGUGACCGAUCUGACCGCGAUCGCGGAUAAGCCGCACGUCACUUCAGUUUGGGGCACCCUAAUCCCCGGAGAGUACCCACGCCUCGGAGCCCACAAAGCCCUCCCAUUCUCCCACAUCCAAAUGUGGCUUGGAGCCAACGUCACCCUCCCUCAUCGACGCUCCAUCGCCCCAAAUCACUUUGGUCAUUCUCCUCGAUGUAAACGCAUUCUUGGAAGACGAUAGCUUUAAGCAUUGAGCUGCUCUGCACAUGGAUCUCACGUGAUACCUUUUAUUCUAUUUGAAUCAGAUGCUAAUAGACUCAUGUUCACGAUUUGAAUUGGUUCAUUUCGAUUGGACCCGGUUCAGAUCGACCGGUUGGAUCCAAUCUGAUGGCUAUGAUUCUAUCAGAUUCUACUGAUGUAGUGAUGAGAAAUCUUUCUUUAUCCAUUAUUUUCAUUGUAUUACUCCGCCAAAUACAACUCAAUUUCAUGGGUGAACUUAUGAGCUCGGCCAUGGAGUCAAUUUUGACCAGUCAAUGCUUAAACAUACCAAUCAUCUCCAUCGAUAUAUGCAUUGCUUUAACAAAUCAGGAUUAGAAAAAGAACAUUAUUAUAUGAUGUAAGCACAUUGACUCGCCCGUAAAGGUUUCAUCGAGAAGUACUCGGCCAUUCAUAUUGCCCGAGAGAAGAAGCAGCAGCCACCAUUUUCGUGUGAUCAUCACACUAUAAGAGGUCUAGUGUCUCUACAUCAGGUUCAAGCAGCCCUGUGAUACCAAACACACUGCAAGUCCAAGCAGACCUGGAAGCGAUCAAAUCUUCAUUGCUCAAAGAAAGUGCUACUGCUUCUGCACAACCAUAUGAUCUUUCAGUGUUAGCUGAUACCGAUUUGUCAAACUACCCUGCGGAGGUUCCUGCAGUUGAUGACUCCGACAAACCAUAAUGUUAAUUGAUUUUAGUAGGUAGCGGAAGCGAAGCUACGAGGUCUUGAACUGCACUCCACCGGCUGUUCUUUGCUGCUGUGUUUGCAAAACUGGGAAGCCUACAGUUUCCCGUUGCUUCAGUGAAAGGUAAAUACUACUAUACCUUCAAUGAUUUUGCUUCUCGCUUGAAUGCUAGUCAGGAUUGUGAGCAUGUUUGUACAUUUUCUUUUAGUGUCAUUUAAUGGAAUACCUGCAAUGAUUUAUUUGUUGGUUGAAUGCUGGUGAGGAUUGUGAAUGCUGACAUGUGUGAUCGUUUUCUACCAUUGUCACUUGUUGUCAAGACUAAAUGAUGGUGCCUGUCGAUCGAGUUACCCCAUUCUUGCUGCUUCAUGUGACUGUUUUCCUAGCAUUACUAAUAGCCA
rnacentral:lncRNA from 1 species